rnacentral:tRNA from 1 species
AGGUUUUAGCUUAAUUAAAGCGCUUGGGUUGCAUUCAGGAGAUGUAGAUUAAAGUUUUACAAGCCUU